rnacentral:lncRNA from 1 species
UUCGAAAUCACUCUAUUUUAUUUUGUACAUUUUGCUCGUUCGAUUUUCACGAAACUUAGUCUACGAGAUAAUUUGAUGAUGUUAUAUUCAAAUCUCGUUGAGGUCAAGAAAACAAAAUCCAAAAUGAUCAAUCCAAUAGAAUACACAUAAACUGAAUUUUUUAAAAAUAAUUUUAUUUUCAUAAAAACUUAAUUUUAGAACAUUUUUAGUACUGCUACUAAAUAACAUUAAGUUUUGUUUCGUUAGAAAUUCUGUAAGCGUAUCAACACUUCCAAACUCUAAUUAUGAAUCCUAUGGCACAAGUUUAAAUCUUAACAUUUUCAGAUUACAUUCUAAUUCGAACGAUUUCAAGACCCUCUUAAAACCAAGUUUUAUAAUAAUACUCGGAUUAUUUCUUAAGAAUUUCGUCCGUAUUGGAUUCUGAAUUUUAGAUUAUUUCUGAUGUGAAAAUCAGCGAUCUCGAAAAUUUUCAGAAAAAAACACAAGACCUUUCCGUCAAUUAUUUAAUUAAAAUGCCCUGUCCUCAAAGGAUUAACAACUUAAUAAAAAGUUGACGAUAACGCGGUGCACGCUAGCAGUUUAUUCAAAAUUAUUGGAUCCCGGUGACACAAGCGUGCUUUUAUUUUUACAUUUCACUCCUUCGCUUUGUUCCGCAUUUUUCAAUACUCGCGCGCGCGCGAGCGAGCGCUCGAAAUGACGCGCUGCAUUCAGUUGGUAUUCACGAAACGCUGCCGGUCAAUUUUCGCCCAACGCUUUCCCACGAACGGGAACCGAUUAAACAGCGUGUGUGUAACGUAGUAAGUAAUUAAUGCCCAAUAAAGUUAAUGCGAUCGUGGAAUACUAUUCUCUCCUAAGCACUCCGCGAGUGCGAAGUUGUCGCCGCGCCACGGAAUUGUAAGUAGCGUCCACCCACUCGCUGUAACACGGGCAGCGCGCGCGGUACGCGCGACCUUAACCUUACUCGACCUCAACCGUGUCGCAUCGUGUCGUCGCCGCGCUACGCGUGGCUACGAAAAUAAACGACGGGGGUGUGUGCCGAAUCGUCGUCCGGCUCCUCGGGCAAUAAUCGGUCACUCGUCCUGUUGUCGGUGCAAUGUAAUCUCGACACCUCGCGUCGUUCGUUCGUCUCGUAAUUCCGCGAGCGUCCAAAGGGCGACUCUAGCAUACGUAAAGUGCCGAAUAUUGUAGAAUGUAGAUAUAUCUCGUGUGGUAUGCGAUAACGACGGUUAAUUCCUUCCUCGUUUUCGAGAAUACGUCGAUCGUGUGGAGUACGCGAUCGGGACUCAUGCAUGUACACGUCUUUCUUGUGUUUCAUAACCUCCGAGAACGUACGGUAUACAGUGAGCCUACGGAAUAUUCGUACGGAGAAAUAUUUUUUAAAAUCUUGUUUUUAUAGAGCAAACGUUAGAUACUCGGCAAUAUAUUAAUAACUCGAUAGAGAAAGAGCAGGAGAAUCGUAUACAUAUUUUUACGCGUACUUGUUAACCUUAAAAUGCUGAUGCUAUUGAAUAAUAUGCAUUAUAUACAGUGUUAGUAUUGACACGUAAAUUUUAACUUAAAAUUCCGACUUAAAAUCUGUUGACGUAAAACUUGAAUAUAGCUUGGCAUAUCUUAGCGAUCAGAAACGGUGCUUAUUACACAGUUUUGGAAAAUUUGUUAAAUUAAAUUUAAUACAGCUGCACGCCCUCCACUCAAAUUUUUCUUAAUUGAAUGUAAGACGAAUAUGUUAAAGAAAAAGUAAAUAUUGAUACAAUGUAGGAACAGAUUGUAAAUAUAGGGUUAAAAAAAGUCUACGAAUACUUCGUAAACAUACACACGGAGAGUGUCGAUCCGAAUCGUCAUAACAAUCUGGUCGCUCGUCGAGCAUGAAUCGUGCGAUUGUGGAAGACCGACAAACGUGCACGUAUACAAACGAAGUAUCGAAGUGCGAGAAGUUGCCCGGCACUUGACGCCACGUUCACGCCGUUCGUCAGCGAACGACGGCACGCUAACCGUCCGCGACUCGCGUUGCGUACUGGGAAGUACGAGGUAUCAAGACUACGUGAACACGAACAAUGGGCGACGGCAGUCAUUCAUAACGAUCCAGUGAAUCUCUUGGUGUCGCGGGGCUCGCAAAUUUCACGUCGGUCUUGUGUCGUUCCGUCUUGACCGUCAAAAGGGAAAUCUGACGAGCGUAUAUGAAGAGGAACGCAUUCAUCGGGAUUGCUAUGAAACCGUGAGACUGGGCAAAUUGCGUGAUCGUUACAUCACACGUGAUAUAUGUAUACGAAUUACCGGUCGAUCGCAGCCCACGGAUGCAGGAGUUUCGAAGGCGGGAAACGGUGGACGCAGCAACUAUUCUCGAAUAUACUACUUGGCCAAACAACAGUAGCAGCAACACUGGACGCUGUGGUAUUACAAUUUCCUUGUUGCGCAUCAUACUGGUGAGUUAUAAAUCUAAUUUUGUUUUAAUCUGAGGUAAUGAAUCUGCAUGUGAAAAUUCUGUCUAGUAUAUAAGAUGUAUGAAGAGCAUAAGAACAUUAUAUAUCAGAGGCGAAAGUAUAAUAUUUCGAAGAUCCAUUGCCUCAAAAUAGAUAACCUAUAACAGAUUAAUAAAGUGAUGUUUAAUCUUGCGAUGUAAUUCACGAAUACGAAAUUAUUUAUCGAGUUAUAUAGAAUCAUUUAUAUAUUUUGAUAUCUUAUUGUGUAAUAAAAUAUUAAAAAUACGAAAUGUACUAGCCUAUCUAAAAUUUACAGAAUGCAAACUCGCAACAUAA